CGCACACCAUGGGCACAUCAGCCUUGGUGAGAAUGCAAACCUGCCCCCCACCCCCGACAUCUAUCAAAACUUGAAAAUUUCAUGCUCUUUGGCCCAGGUAUUCCAGGGCCACAUUCCACAGAUGAGUUUGCAGAAGUGCAUCAGGAUACAGAUGCAAGCCUGAGGGUUACAAAAUUGUUUGCAGCAGCAACUAGAAACCCCAAAAUGUCCAUCAGAAGGGCCAAAACCACAACGAUUGUGAUAUGCACAGUAAAACGAAAGCCCAGCUAUCUGAAACCAGGCUAGAAGAAACCAAAAAUACCCACCCCACAAGGAGCCAUGUCCCUUUCGGGGAGAAAUUGUUGCACUCAGAUCUGGGAGAAGACAGAGCCAUGCAAAGUUAAGUUGCUAAAGUGGCUAAAAACAAACAUGGUCUCCACGCGCUAAUUUUUCUCCAUGGCCCCUCCUCCCCACUCCUUACAGUAAACAGCAGUUAUGGGGACUGCAGUCAAAUUCCCUAUUUACUGCCUUUCCUGAGUCAGUUUCUUUUGGGUGAAAACAGUCUCUGAUGCAGCUCUAUUGCACCAUUUCAGCGGGUGUUUAUCAUUUAAAAGGAACAAUUUUAAUACCUACAUUUGCCUUACAGUAUGAGCCAUAAAUGUGAUUUAGGUUUCCCUUUAUAAUAGACUCUACAAACGAUUGCCUAGGCUCCAGAAGAACUGUUUCUCCAAGUGCUGGCCAUGAAAAUGAACAGGCUUUUCCUUUCUUUACGAAAGUUUUCCUUUUUAAUACCUCUUGAAAUUAAUUGAACAAAAACUGGGUAAAUGGGCUGACUCACACAUCUUCCUUGCUGGGAGUCUGGAGCCUGCCAGCAAUGUCUUGGGAAAGGAUGGGUCUCCCAGAGUGGGCAUGGGAGGAAGGCCCAGGAGGUUGUGCUGCUGAUGCUGUUUGUCCUACUUCCUGCCCCCCUGGGCCCCAGCUUCCUCCUCUGCAAUGGUGGGGUGGCGAUGGUGGUAAUAACAUAGAUCUCCGACAUCAGUGCUACUCAAAGCCAGGUUUGUGGGCUGGCAGCAUCAGCAUCACCUAAGAGCUUGCUAGAAAUGCCAAUUCCCUGGCUCUGCCCAGACUUGCUAAAUCAGAAUCUGGAGGUAGGGCCCAGCAAUCUGUACGAGAAGGUUGUCCGGGUAAUUCUAAUACAUGCUAAUGUUUGGGAAGCUCUGACUAUUUGGAAGCAGAACUAGAAGCCUGUCAGGGGUCACAGUGAACUGCUGAAAGUGUUUAUGAGCUCCCAUAAUCCAGUGGCAUCCUGGUCCUGGGAGCGGUGAACCCACUGGGUGCUUAGGAUCCAAGCUGGUGAGUGACAAAAGUAA
rnacentral:lncRNA from 10 species